rnacentral:rRNA from 1 species
GAUGAACGCUGGCGGCGUGCCUAAUACAUGCAAGUCGAGCGAACGGACGAGAAGCUUGCUUUUCUGAUGUUAGCGGCGGACGGGUGAGUAACACGUGGAUAACCUACCUAUAAGACUGGGAUAACUUCGGGAAACCGGAGCUAAUACCGGAUAAUAUUUUGAACCGCAUGGUUAAAAAGUGAACGACGGUCUUGCUGUCACUUAUAGAUGGAUCCGCGCUGCAUUAGCUAGUUGGUAAGGUAACGGCUUACCAAGGCAACGAUGCAUAGCCGACCUGAGAGGGUGAUAGGCCACACUGGAACUGAGACACGGUCCAGACUCCUACGGGAGGCACCAGUAGGGAAUCUUCCGCGAUGGGCGAAAGCCUGACGGAGCAACGCCGCGUGAGUGAUGAAGGUCUUCGGAUCGUAGAACUCUGUUAUUAGGGAAGAACAUAUGUGUAAGUAACUGUGCACAUCUUGACGGUACCUAAUCAGAAAGCCACGGCUAACUACGUG